rnacentral:rRNA from 1 species
CACCAGGUUGAUUCUGCCUGACGUAGAUGCUAUUUUCUAAGAUUAAGCCAUGCAUAGUUUCUGUUAUAAAGGACAAAUAGCUCAGUAAAACUAAAUUCAUUUAAUCUUGAUAAAAAAUAACCAAGUGAAAAUUUGGCUAAAAACAAAGAAUAAGAUUUAGAACUAUCAGCUAGUUGGUAGUGUAAAGGACUACCAAGGCGACGACGGCUAACGGGACACGAGAGUGUUAUACCGGAGAGGGAGCCUGAGAGAUUGCUCCCACGUCCAAGGACGGCAGCAGGCGCGAAAAUUGUCCACUCUUUGUAGGAGACAGUUAUGAAAAGUAAAUUUGAUAGGUUUUUUAAAGAAAAAUUCUAAAAUUGGAGGGCAAGUUUGGUGCCAGCAGCCGCGGUAAUACCAACUCCAAGAGUGUGUAUGAGAGUUGUUGCAGUUAAAAGGUCCGUAGUUGUUAAAUUAAAUAAAAUAUAACAUUUUUAAUUAAUUUUGAGGGACUGAUGGGGAUUAUAGUAUACAAGGGCGAGAGAUGAAAUGCCAAGACCCCUUGUGGACUAAGUGAGGCGAAACGGAUAAUCUUGUAAGUACUCGAUAAUCAAGGACGAAGGGUGGAGGAUCGAAGGUGAUUAGAUACCGCUGUAGUUCCACCAGUAAAAGAUGCCGACUAUCUAAUUUAAGAUAUUUAUUUAAAUAAGUUUUUAUUUAUAAAGACAAAAUUUAAUUUAUUAUAAUUUAGAUUAGGAAUAGAGAAAUCAAUAAGUGUUUGGGCUCUGGGGAUAGUACGCUCGCAAGGGUAAAAAUUAAAGAAAUUGACGGAGCUACACCACAAGGAGUGGAUUGUGCGGCUUAAUUUGACUCAACGCGAGGAAACUUACCAAGCCCUUUUUUAUUUAAGAUAUGAGAUAAAUAGGAGUGGUGCAUGGUCGUUGGAAAUUCAUGAGAUGACUUUGAGCUUAAAUGCUUGAAUGAGUGAGACUUUUUAUACUGACUGUGUUAAACAGUAGGAAGGUAAAGCUAUAACAGAUCAGUGAUGCCCUUAGAUGGCUUGGGCUGCACGCGCAAUACAAUAAGUUAUAUAUUAUAUAAGUAAAUAAAACUUUAGAUGGAUUGUUGAUUGUAAUUUCAACAUGAAAGUGGAAUUCCUAGUAAAUGUGCAUUAUCAAUAGAUAUUGAAUAAGUCCCUGUAGCUUGUACACACCGUCCGUCAGUAUCUCAGAUGUUUUUUAGGAUGAAGAGUUUCGAUUCUGAAUAAUGAAGAAUAGAUAAGAUGUAAGUCGUAACAAGGUAACC